rnacentral:rRNA from 1 species
GACGAACGCUGGCGGCGUGCUUAACACAUGCAAGUCGAACGGUGAGGGGACCUGUUUUUUCUGGUUCUGGAUGAGUGGCGAAGGGGUGGGUAACACGAGAGUAACCUGCCCCCUUCUUCUGGAUAGCCGCAUGAAAGUGUGGCUAAUACGAUAUAUUCUGCGCCUGCUGCAUGGUGGGUGUGGGGAAGAUAUUGUUUCGGGUGGGGGUGGACUCGCGGCCUAUCAGCUUGCUGGUGGGGGGGUGGCCUGCCAAGGCGGUGACGGGUAGCCGGCCUGAGGGGGUGGACGGUCACACUGGGGCUGAGGAACGGACCAGACGCCUACGGGAGGAAGCAGUGGGGAAGAAUGCAGCACGGGCGGAAGCAUGAUGCAGCGGCGCCGCGGGGGGGAUGGAGGCCUUCGGGUUGUAAACCUCUUCCGCCAGUGAAGCAGGACUGUCCCUUUUGGGGGUGGGUUGACGGUAGCUGGAUAAGAAGCGCCGGCUAACUACGUG